CGUGUUUUGUGUUUCCCCCCAUUUAUUAUUUAUUAAACUAGUCUUGAAAAUCCUUGAAUAUAAAAUUCACUCUUUGUCCAGUAUGAGCAGAGUAGGUUAACAAUGGAGAUGAAGAAGCUGGCAUCCCACCUUGUGGAUCCGCGCUAGGGGUCGUGGAGAAUUCUGGGUACUGUGUGCUGUGAAUGGACCACUAAGCGAAGACAGGCGAGUGCAGUUAAGAGUAGAAGACAGUAAGAUUCGGUCACCUUUGACCCGUUUCUCUACCUUCGCAGCCUGGAGGCAUGCACUGAACAUCUACCUCCUCCAGCGUGGUCUUAAACCUCUGGACAGACCUCUCUUGACAGUGCAUCAGUGCUUCUUAAAGCUCCCUAUGGCAAUGUCUCCAACAAUGCACAGCCGGAACAUCAGGCAUUACAUUGCGUGAGACGUGGAACAAUGCCUUGCCAAUGAUCAUAAACACUAUACCAUCUUUGGGAGAAGUGAAAGUGGCAUCAACGUUGAAUCUGAUUCUGCCUCACCUCGGUGGUGCAGCCCUGACCUGCAGCACCGUCCUCCACUGUGUAAAUGCUAAGGCUCACACAGCAGGUACACCUCAGGUGUUUCAGCAGCAUGCAGCUAAUACUUUAAACUGUCUUCUCAUACUAAAAAUGAAACAACAGAAGAAAAUACAAAAUGUUAAAAAUCACUCAAUCAUAAGCUCACAAACUGGAAAACUUAGACACUUCAGAUGGUCACUAAACUUCACAUCAUGAAAGCAAUGUAUUUCAAGUUUCAAAGAUUUGACAAGUUCUGUAGAUUAUCUUUCAUCGGAAGGUAGAACCCUUCAAACUGCACAAUCUUUCGCCAGGUAGGACUGGAUAUCAUUCACUGGUUUGCAGUCGAAUCUAUUUCAAGGCAUGUCUUGAUGGCAUAGUAAUGGGGGGAUGAUAAAAUGAGCAGUCUGGUCCUGUACACCGUGUGUUAAAUCUACAGUGCUUUGGAUGAUAGAAGGGACAUUCCAUUUUCUUACCAGAUGGGAAGUAACGGCAAAGCUGCCUAAUAGGAGAUGCUGAUGUUGUAACUGCUGGUUUGGGAGGCAGUACUGGAAUUCUUUUAUUGGUAAGAGUGAAGGGACAAUCUGGUUUAGCACAUUUUACGUCAGAGUUAAGACCAGGAUGAACAAACAAUAUUUGUCAGCAAAUUUACAAUUGGGGAAGCCUUUGCAAGGUGAGAUGGGACGGCGCUGCACACGCUCAUCUCUGUUUCUACGAGCAGGCAGUACUUGCAGCCCUGCAAAAGCUUUUCUGGUUUCUGUGCCAUGCUCAGUUCACUUAUCUCCAUGUAGGAAAAGCUACCAUCUGGGUCACCAAGCUGCCUGUUCAUCAGCUGCAGCUGCUGUGGGUGGAGGAGACCUUUGAGUCCCUUAUUUGAGGCUGCAGUUUGGUUUACGUGUUUCAUUUCUUCAAAGCAAAUGUCCUCCUCUUGACCUGACAUGCACCCUGGGGGGCUGGGGACACCCUCCAGUGUCACUAUAAACUUGGGCCUUGAAGGUUUACCCGGUUGUACAAGAUCUCGUGUCUGCAUAAGAUGUCCUGAAAGUACUUGGAAGGAAUCUGCAGUCUUCAUCCCCUACUCUUAGUUUGGGGCCACUACUACCUCCUCAGACAGAUUUGGUUUCUUCAGAAUUAAAUUAUCUGUGUCUUCAAGGACCAUGGAUUCAUGUCACGGUAACUGGGACUAAUGUGCAGUGUUUCUGCCAUUCCUGGGUUAAUCUGCAGUCUUUUUUUUCUUUGGCUCUC
rnacentral:lncRNA from 1 species